rnacentral:rRNA from 1 species
UAGAGUUUGAUCCUGGCUCAGGAUGAACGCUAGCGGAAGGCCUAAUACAUGCAAGUCGAGGGGUAACAGGGGAGCUUGCUCCCGCUGACGACCGGCGCACGGGUGAGUAACGCGUACGUAACCUACCUUCAAGAAAGGGAUAGCCCCGGGAAACUGGGAUUAAUACCUUAUAGUAUCAUAAAGCCGCAUGGUUUAAUGAUUAAAGCUCCGGCGCUUGAAGAUGGACGUGCGUUCUAUUAGAUAGUUGGUGAGGUAACGGCUCACCAAGUCAGCGAUAGAUAGGGGGCGUGAGAGCGUGGUCCCCCACACGGGUACUGAGACACGGACCCGACUCCUACGGGAGGCAGCAGUAAGGAAUAUUGGACAAUGGGCGCAAGCCUGAUCCAGCCAUUCCGCGUGUAGGAUGACGGCCCUCUGGGUUGUAAACUACUUUUAUUUGGGAAGAAACCCUGGGAUUUAUCCCGGGCUGACGGUACCAAAAGAAUAAGCACCGGCUAAUUCCGUGCCAGCAGCCGCGGUAAUACGGAAGGUGCAAGCGUUAUCCGGAAUCACUGGGUUUAAAGGGUGCGUAGGCGGUUGCGUAAGUCAGAAGUGAAAGCUCACAGCUUAACUGUGGAAUUGCUUUUGAUACUGCGCGACUAGAAUCAGGUUGAGGUUGGCGGAAUGUGACAUGUAGCGGUGAAAUGCAUAGAU